rnacentral:tRNA from 1 species
GCAGUGAUGGUUCAGUGGUAGAAUACUCAUCUUCCAUGCAGGAGACCUGGGUUCAAUUCCUGGCCAACGCA